UACAGAGGGUGCGAGCGUUAAUCGGAAUUACUGGGCGUAAAGCGCGCGUAGGUGGCUAUGCAAGUCGGAUGUGAAAUCCCCAGGCUCAACCUGGGAACUGCGCUCGAAACUGUGGGUCUCGAGUGUCGGAGAGAAUGGCGGAAUUCCUGGUGUAGAGGUGAAAUUCGUAGAUAUCAGGAGGAACACCGGUGGCGAAGGCGGCCAUCUGGACGACAACUGACGCUGAGAUGCGAAAGCGUGGGGAGCAAACAGG
rnacentral:rRNA from 1 species